CCUACGGGAGGCAGCAGUUGGGAAUCGUUGUCAAUGGGGGAAACCCUGAACACGCGACACCGCGUGGUGGAUGAAGGCCUUAGGGUCGUAAACACCUUUUGCACGGAAAGACUUAGGACGGUACCGUGCGAAUAAGCUCCGGCUAACUACGUGCCAGCAGCCGCGGUAAGACGUAGGGAGCAAGCGUUGUCCGGAUUUACUGGGCGUAAAGAGCACGUAGGCGGACUGUUAAGUGUGAAGUGAAAUCUCCAGCGCUCAACGCGGAAAUUGCUUCGCAUACUGGCAGACUAGAGGGUUGCAGAGGUAACUGGAAUUCCCGGUGUAGCGGUGACAUGCAUUGAUAUCGGGAGGAACUCCUAUGGCGAAGGCAGGUUACUGGGCUUCUCCUGACGCUGAGGUGCGAAAGCGUGGGUAGCAAACAGAAUUAGAUACUCUGGUAGUCCACGCCCUAAACGAUGGAUACUAGACGUAAGAGGUAUCGACCCCUCUUGUGUCGCAGCUAACGCAUUAAGUUCCCGCCCUGG
rnacentral:rRNA from 1 species